UACGUAGGGGGCGAGCGUUGUCCGGAGUUACUGGGCGUAAAGCGUCCGCAGGUGGUAACUCAAGUUUCGACUGACAGUACCCGGCUUAACUGGGUGAGGCGUCGGAAAACUGGGUUACUUGAGGGCUUCAGAGGGACACGGAAUUCCGGGUGGAGUGGUGAAAUGCGUAGAGAUCCGGAGGAACACCAAAGGCGUAGGCAGUGUCCUGGGGAGUACCUGACACUCAUGGACGAAAGCCAGGGGAGCGAACGGG
rnacentral:rRNA from 1 species